UACGAAGGGAGCUAGCGUUGUUCGGAAUCACUGGGCGUAAAGCGCACGUAGGCGGACUCUUAAGUCGGUGGUGAAAUCCUGGAGCUCAACUCCAGAACUGCCUUCGAUACUGAGAGUCUUGAGUCCGGGAGAGGUGAGUGGAACUGCGAGUGUAGAGGUGAAAUUCGUAGAUAUUCGCAAGAACACCAGUGGCGAAGGCGGCUCACUGGCCCGGUACUGACGCUGACGGUGCGAAAGCGUGGGGAGCAAACAGGG
rnacentral:rRNA from 1 species